rnacentral:rRNA from 1 species
GACGAACGCUGGCGGCGUGCCUAACACAUGCAAGUCGAGCGGGGAACAUUGAAAGCUUGCUUUUGGUGUUUCUAGCGGCGGACGGGUGAGUAACGCGUGAGCAAUCUGUCUCAGACAGGGGGAUAACGCAGCGAAAGUUGCACUAAUACCGCAUAAGACCACAGAGCCACAUGGCAUAGGGGUCAAAGGAGCAAUCCGGUCUGAGGUGAGCUCGCGUCCCAUUAGGUAGUUGGUGAGGUAACGGCCCACCAAGCCUGCGAUGGGUAGCCGACCUGAGAGGGUGAUCGGCCACACUGGAACUGAGACACGGUCCAGACUCCUACGGGAGGCAGCAGUGGGGAAUAUUGGGCAAUGGGGGAAACCCUGACCCAGCAACGCCGCGUGAGGGAAGAAGGUUUUCGGAUUGUAAACCUCUGUC